rnacentral:lncRNA from 1 species
CGGGAAAACCGAUGUGGCAUGCUCUUCCCAGGCAACUGUGCUGGGACAGGGUCCCGCAAACGUCGCGGGAGAAAAACCGAAGACAUGAGGUGCUCCCAGUGCGGUCCAACAGGCGUAUUUUAAAUAUAUGUCCCCAGGUCCAUGACUGAAGAAAAUUCUGGAAGGACUCCCAGGAAGUUAUUUCUUUUUUCUGCUUGCUGUGAUAUUGAGGAGAAAACGGUGAUGACAUCUUUUUGGCUGGAUGGAACUGAUGGAAGAUUUAUGGAGCAGCUGAGGACUGUCAGAGCCAGACCCAGCAGAUUUCCUAAGAGAAUGACCAUGGCCUUUUCAUCAGCGAGCACACUGCCUUCUGAAAUGGUCUAACAUGAGAGAGAGAGAGAGAGAGAGAGAGAGAGAGAGAGAGAGAGAGAGAGAGAGAGAGAGAGAGAGAGAGAAGGAGAGGGAGAGGGAGAGGGAGAGGGAGAGAGGGAGAGAGAGAGAGAGCCCUAUCUAACCAGCCAUCAGUGAGGUUAUCCCUGUACCCCACAGCUGCUGCCACCCAAUCUGAAGGUUCCCGCUUCUGCUCUUGAAGUAUUUAUUGUAUGUGACCACACAGAAGUCCUAGCUGUCACCCACCGUCAAACCCCCUAGCCCCAGUCUGGGACCCAGAGCCCUCCAGGAGUGGGAAACUUCAUCCUAUACCUUCUCAGUCACAGGGAUUUCAGAAAUUAGUCACAGGAAGCAGGGAGGCCGAGAGUGGAGGCUUCCAAGAGGAGCCAGUAACAGGAUCUGGGAUCUUUCACCCCAGGUCACAGAAGCUUAGACUGUCCCCAAGGUAGAGAUGAGUGGUCAAGGAUGGAACCGGCCUUCCCAAGGCUUCUGCCAGCAGCAAGAGCUUUGGGGAGAUGGAACCUAUAGCCAGGCAGUCGUCCCCUCACUGACUGCUCUCUCCCGUAUCUCAAAUGUCUGUCCUAAUACUCUCAACUCUGAGAGACAACAAGGGGUUGACUGGAGCCCAGAACCCAGCAUGUAUCUGAAACAAAGUCUUGACCUGACUUCCAGCCCUCCCCUCAUGAAUGAACACUGUUGCAUCUCAGAGUACUCUCAGACAUCCCAGAAUUGUCACUCACAGACAUCUCAUGUGGACAGACAGUAAAUGAUAAUCAUUCUGAAGGUAUGGAAAAGUUGUGGGGUGGUAGAGGCAGAAGGCACUGGGUUCAAUCCUCUAUAUGGAGAGAAAGAUGAUAGAUAGAUAGAUAGAUAGAUAGAUAGAUAGAUAGAUAGAUAGAUGAUAGAUAGAUAGACAGACAGAUAAAUAGAUAGAUCAGAGACACACACUAAAUAUCUACCAACAGAAAAUAGUUUAGGGCUGGUGAGAUAGCUCAGCAGUUAAGAGCACUGACUGCUUUUCCAAAGGUCCCAAGUUCAAAUCCCAGUCACCACAUGGUAGCUCACAACCCUCUAUAAGGAGAUCUGAUGCCCUCUUCUGGAGUAUCUGAAAACAGUUACAGUGUAGUUACAUAUAAUAAAUAUAU